rnacentral:rRNA from 1 species
GUAGAUAAUCUGCCUGAUGAUCCGGGAUAACACUUCGAAAGAGGUGCUAAUACCGGAUAAGCCCACGGUAUCUUCGGAUUCUGCGGGAAAAGGGGGGGACCUUCGGGCCUUCUGUCAUCAGAUGAGUCUGCGUACCAUUAGCUAGUUGGUAGGGUAAUGGCCUACCAAGGCUACGAUGGUUAGCUGGUUUGAGAGAAUGAUCAGCCACACUGGAACUGAGACACGGUCCAGACUCCUACGGGAGGCAGCAGUGGGGAAUUUUGCGCAAUGGGCGAAAGCCUGACGCAGCAACGCCGCGUGAGUGAUGAAGGCUUUCGGGUCGUAAAGCUCUGUCGAGGGGAAAGAAGUGUAUUGUGGCUAAUAUCCACGAUACUUGACGGUACCCCUAAAGGAAGCACCGGCUAACUCCGUGCCAGCAGCCGCGGUAAUACGGGGGGUGCAAGCGUUGUUCGGAAUUAUUGGGCGUAAAGAGCGUGUAGGCGGUUUGUUAAGUCUGAUGUGAAAGCCCUGGGCUCAACCCAGGAAGUGCAUUGGAAACUGGCAGACUUGAAUACGGGAGAGGG